CUGCUGCCUUCCGUAGGAGUUUGGACCGUGUCUCAGUUCCAAUGUGGGGGACCUUCCUCUCAGAACCCCUACGCAUCGUCGGCUUGGUGGGCCGUUGCCCCACCAACUACCUAAUGCGCCGCAUGCCCAUCCGUGACCGGAGUCGCCCCCUUUGGCCGGAAAGGGAUGUCCCUUCCCGGCGUCAUGCUGUAUUAGGCGGGAUUUCUCCCGGUUAUCCAUCUGUCACGGCCAGGUUGCAUACGUGUUACUCACCCGUGCGCCGGUCGCCGGCGG
rnacentral:rRNA from 1 species